rnacentral:lncRNA from 1 species
CUGAGGGUCCCCUCCUUCCUGGUGCCGAGUGAGGAAUCCCCUGAAGGACCCCAGUAAAGGACACCUGGAGGUGCCCUCGGGAGGGGCCGCGGGAAUUACUCCACAAGUUCCUGAGGAACCCCUCGGGAGAGGGGAACCCCAUGAGAGCCCAUGCGAGGAUUCCGCUGAGGAACCCUCUCAGGGACCGCGUGAGGGACACCGUGUGAGGCACCCCCUGAGAAGCCCCUCUAAGGGAUACCAUGACGGAGCCCGGUGAGGGACCCGGGUGGCAUAGGAGUGGGGCAUUUUAGAACCAGUUCUGCACUUACAUUAAUGUCGGCAUCUCCUUCUUUUGAGAGGGUGGGCACAAAGGAGCCACCCUGUUGACAAAGAGAACUCCAGGACAAAAGACAGCCGCACUACAGGAGGAAAAAGAUUGUCAAGACUGUUCCACGUCUGAGCCUGAUACUGAUCCUGCAGAGCCCUGCUUAAACACCUAUCUAAGAAGGAUGCUAGUGAGAUUUAACCUGUCUAGUACAUGCUCUUCUAAUGUGUUGCAUGCUGCCUCUUGGAGCACUUACAGACCAUCUAUCUUUAUCAGUUGGAUUUUAACAAGCCUAGUGGACUCACAGCCCUCACUUCCUCCAGGUAAUAUAAAAGUUCCUGUAAUGAAUGGUAACAAACUAAUAGUAUUGUAAAGUGGAAGCUGGAUUUGCACUAUUUGCUGUUUUUCCCCAAACUUCAUCUUAGAAUAAAUUACAAGCGUUUUUAUCCUGUGAUUUUAGG